GGGGAGGAGGAAGCAGACGGAACGCUGGAGAAGAGAUGGGGAAACCUCCUUCUCUCUUUAGCGUUCCGUCUGCUUCCCCCUCCCCG
rnacentral:pre_miRNA from 1 species